CCUACGGGAGGCAGCAGUGAGGAAUAUUGGUCAAUGGGCGGAAGCCUGAACCAGCCAAGUAGCGUGCGGGAUGACUGCCCUACGGGUCGUAAACCGCUUUUGCACGGGGAUAACACCCUCCACGUGUGGAGGUCUGCAGGUACCGUGCAGAUAAGGGCCGGCUAAUUCCGUGCCAGCAGCCGCUGUAAUAAGGAAGGCCCGAGCGUUAUCCGGAUUCAUUGGGCUUAAAGGGAGCGUAGGCGGGCGUUCAAGUCAGCGGUAAAAUUGCGUGGCUCAACCGCGCCCCGCAGUUGAAACUGGACGCCUUGAGUGCACAACAGGCAGGCGGAAUGCGUGGUGUAGCGGUGAAAUGCAUAGAUAUCACGCGGAACCCCGAUUGCGAAGGCAGCCUGCCGGGGUGCGACUGACGCUGAGGCUCGAAGGUGCGGGUAUCAAACAGGAUUAGAUACCCGAGUAGUC
rnacentral:rRNA from 1 species